GAUGAACGCUGGCGGCGUGCCUAAUACAUGCAAGUCGAGCGAACAGACGAGGAGCUUGCUCCUCUGACGUUAGCGGCGGACGGGUGAGUAACACGUGGAUAACCUACCUAUAAGACUGGGAUAACUUCGGGAAACCGGAGCUAAUACCGGAUAAUAUAUUGAACCGCAUGGUUCAAUAGUGAAAGACGGUUUUGCUGUCACUUAUAGAUGGAUCCGCGCCGCAUUAGCUAGUUGGUAAGGUAACGGCUUACCAAGGAAACGAUGCGUAGCCGCCCUGAGAGGGUGAUCGGCCACACUGGAACUGAGACACGGUCCAGACUCCUACGGGAGGCAGCAGUAGGGAAUCUUCCGCAAUGGGCGAAAGCCUGACGGAGCAACGCCGCGUGAGUGAUGAAGGUCUUCGGAUCGUAAAACUCUGUUAUUAGGGAAGAACAAAUGUGUAAGUAACUAUGCACGUCUUGACGGUACCUAAUCAGAAAGCCACGGCUAACUACGUG
rnacentral:rRNA from 1 species